rnacentral:lncRNA from 1 species
AAAAAUACAACUGUUUGGCCAUAAUGACCAUCGUUAUGUUUGGAGGAAAAAAGGGGAAGCUUGCAAGCCGAAGAACACCAUCCCAACCGUGAAGCACGGGCGUGGCAGCAUCAUGUUGUGGGGGUGCUUUGCUGCAGGAGGGACUGGUGCACUUCAGGGAUUUUUUUACUAGGAUUAAAUGUCAGGAAUUGUGAAAAAAAAGGAGUUUAAAUGUAUUUGGCUAAGGCUAAACUGUAUAUAUUAGAACACAUAGGGUUCUCGUUAAUGGAAUCCUCUUUAAUGCAAAUUCAGUUGAGUGUUGUUUACCGCAGGGCAGCCGGCUAGGGCCAUUACUGUUUCCUGUUUUUACAAAUGACCGUCCACUGAGCUUGAACAAAGCCUGCGUGUCUAUGUACGUCGAUGACUCAACAGUAAACACGUCGACUACCACAGUAAAAUAGCUACCUGACACCCUUAGCAUAGAGCUACAGUCAGUUCUAGAAUGGGUAACUACCAAUAGGUUUAACAUAGAGCUGCAGUCAGUUCUAGAAUGGGUAACUACCAAUAGGUUUAACAUAGAGCUACAGUCAGUUCUAGAAUGGGUAACUACCAAUAGGUUUAACAUAGAGCUGCAGUCAGUUCUAGAAUGGGUAACUACCAAUAGGUUUAACAUAGAGCUGCAGUCAGUUCUAGAAUGGGUAACUACCAAUAGGUUUAACAUAGAGCUGCAGUCAGUUAUAGAAUGGGUAACUACCAAUAGGUUUAACAUAGAGCUGCAGUCAGUUAUAGAAUGGGUAACUACCAAUAGGUUUAACAUAGAGCUGCAGUCAGUUAUAGAAUGGGUAACCAGCAACAGACUGAUGCUAAAUAUGUCAAAAACUUAAAUCAUCAUUUUUUGGAACAAAUCACUCGCUCGACGCUAAACUAUUAUUGAAUAAUGUGGCUAUUGAGCAAGUGGAGAAGACUAAACUGCUGGGUGCAACCCUAGAUAGCAAGCUGUCAUGGUCAAAAAAUAGACUCAAUGGUUGCUAAAAUGGGAAGAGGUUUGUCCAUCUCAGUGACAUCUCAGUCGACCAGACAGGUCCUACAGGCCCUAGUUUUGUCGCACCUGGACUACUGCUGCCCAGCUGUGUUGUCAUGUGUGGCAACGAAGGACAUAGGUGAAUUGCAGUUGGUCCAGAUCAAAGCAGCACGUAUCGCACUUAGAUGUACACGGAGGGUGAAUGUCAGGAACAUGCAUGUCAAUCUCUCCUGGAUCAAAGUUGAGGAGAGAUCGACUUCAUCACUAUUGGUCUGGUGAUGGUUGAUGUGUUGGGAGGUACCGAACUGUCUGUUCAAUCAGUUGGCAACACAGUUCAGACACUCAUCGAUACAAAACAAGACAUGCAACCAGAGGUCUCUUCAUAAUCCCCAGGUCCAGAACAGAGGCUGGGAAACGCACAGUAUUAAAGAGUUAUUAGGUUAUUAAAUUAUUGCAUCUGAGCUCCUAGAGUUUGUGACUCUCUCUUUUCUUUUCCAAGUGUUCUGAAAACACCUCGGCUAAACAGGUGUACGUUUCUUUCGCUUCCAGAGGAACCAUUGGAGUCAACAUGGGGCCAGCAUCCCUGUAGAAGGCUUUUGACACCUUGAGGAGUCCAUGCCCCGACCAAUUGAGGUGGUUCUGAGGGUAGAAGGAGGUGCAACUCAAUAUUAGGAAGGUGGCUAGAGAGUUGGGCCAGUAACCGAAAGGUUGCUGGAUCGAAUCCCUGAGCUGACAAGGUAAACAUCGGUCAUUCUGAACAAGGCUGUUAACCCACUGUUCCCCGGCCGUCAAUAUAAAUAAGAAUUUGUUCUUAUGUUCUUAACUGACUUGCCUAGUUAAAAAAAAAUUUAAAGUCCUAAUGUUUUGUAUACUCAGUGUAUAAUGCCAGAAGAGAAGGUGCAUCUGCCUAAUUACAGACAAGUUGACUAAUAAAUAGCAGAAACACAUCUAAAUCAGGAAGAACAAUGUCUGCAUCCCCCUGUUAAAACUCGUUUAGCCGUUUCUGACUGUAGACUACAGGUCACUUUUUAUAUUAUCGGUUUAGAGUGGGGUGUAGGCAUCAGAUUCUCACUUUAUCACAUAGGCUAUAGUCGGACGGUUGCUGAUGGGUUAUUAGCUAUUGUGGUCGGUUGCUGAUGGGUUAUUAGCUAUUGUGGUCGGUUGCUGAUGGGUUAUUAGCUAUAGUCGGACGGUUGCUGAUGGGUUAUUAGCUAUUGUGGUCGGUUGCUGAUGGGUUAUUAGCUAUAGUCGGACGGUUGCUGAUGGGUUAUUAGCUAUUGUGGUCGGUUGCUGGUGAACAAACAGCUGACAUGCGCACCACUACAAAGACCUGUGUCUAUACAGCCUCUCCCCAUCAGGACUGAACUGAACUGAACUGAAUCCGUUCAUCUCCACUCGACACUCGCAGCGCGACAAAACAUCUUCAAUUAGGACACCAGGCGUGUCCGUAUAGCCCCUCUUUCGGGGAGAGCUUCUUCCGUAUAGCCCCUCUUCCGGGGACAUCCUCUUCCGGUAAGAGCCUCCUCUUCCUAAUGACGUCGCGUAGCUACCGUUUUGGUAGUCGAGGAUUCGUUGAAGAAAAGCGAAGAGAUUGUUGUCAACAACACGGGUUUUUAACACUGCCCUAGUUAAUUUACAGAGAACAAGAUGUCAGAUACAGACACGAAACCUUCAGGUCCAGAUGGAGGAGACCAAAAGGAUGGAGAGUACAUCAAACUGAAAGUGAUCGGUCAGGACAACAGUGAAAUUCACUUCAAAGUGAAAAUGACCACCCAUCUGAAGAAGCUGAAGGAGUCUUACAGCCAGAGACAGGGUGUUCAUAUGAGUACCUUACGGUUUCUAUUUGAGGGACAACGAAUCUCAGACAACCACACUCCAAAAGAGCUGGGGAUGGAAGACGAGGACGUCAUCGAGGUGUAUCAGGAACAGACUGGAGGACUUCGGAAUAAUUAGUCUACCUGGAUUUAACUUUUGUUGUUGUUGAUGAUGAUAAUAUUGUAUUUUAUAUUUGUACAAUUAAUUUACUGAGUGAAUUUUGUUUUGGCUUUGUGUUCCUCUCAGUGGUAGAGAGGAGAGAAUAACUGUUAUCGUUCUGUUUGUGCUGUUUUGCCAACUUGCGUGGCAAAAAGUUGUCACAAACAGACUGGCACUCGGGCUCUAUCUGUUUGUGCUGGCGUGACAAUGACUGUAGGAGUUGGCAAGACGGCACAGAAUGCAUUACAGAGUAGAAGUGCUGAUCGGGGAUCAGUUUUGCCUUUAAGAAUCAUAGGGGAUUUAAAAAAAAAAUUUACCAGGCAAGUCGGUUAAGAACAAAUUGUUAUUUACAACGACGGCCUACCGAGGAACAGUGGGUUAACUGCCUUGUUCAGGGGGCAGAACCACAGAUUUUUAUUUUCUUUUUUACCUCGUCAGCUCGGGGAUUCGAUCCAGAAACCUUUCGGUUACUGGCCCAACGCUCUAACCACUAGGCUACCUGCCACCCCAUUGACUACAUGGACAAGAGGGACCCUGAUUCCUAGAUCAGCACUCCUACUGUUUUAUGAUUACGGCCACCGGAACAAGGCUACUAUGAUUCCCCCCCCCCCCCCAUGUGGUCCAUCAGAAGACUCAUUAGGUUGGAUAAAUGUUUUCUUCAGACCCCUCCCCCCCCGUAGCUUCAGUUUGGUUGAUUGUCAUCCGUCCCCCAUAUAUAUAGCGUUCGACAGUAUAUAUUUUACUAGCUGAAGAUCCAGGUAACUGCCAAAGUAAAAGGAAACACUAACAUUGGGUGUUAAUAGGGUCACCACGACCCAGAACAGCUUCAAUGCACCUCGAGGGUAGAUUCUACAAGUGUCUUGAACUCUAUUGGAGGGAUGAGACACCAUUCUUCUUCCACGAGAAAUUCCAUUAUUUUGGUGUUUUGAUGAUGAUGAUGAUGAUGAUGAUGAUGGUGGCGGCGGGAAAAACGUUUUCUCAGGCACCGCUCCAGACUCUCCCGUAAGUGUUCAAUUUGGGUUGAGAUCUGGUGACCUGAGAUGGUCGUGGUCUUUGGGUUUUAUCGUUUUUUUUGUAAAAUGCUCACUAAACCAUUCGGUGACCUCUCAAGCCCUGUGGAUGGGGAUGGGGAUGGGGGGGGGGGGGUUGUCGUGGUAACCAAAAUAAUGUCCUGCUCAGCAUUAUUUUUUUUUUUUUGCUUGACCCUAAGCAUGAUGGGAUGUUAAUUGCUUAAUUAAUUUUGGGUUACAACACCUGUGUUGAAGCAUCUGCUUUCAAUAUAUUUUUGUAUCCCUCAUUUCCUCAUGUGUUUUUCCUUUGUUUUGGCAGUUACCUGUAGCUAGCGUGCCACUGUUAUUUCCUGACUUUUAUGUCAAGGUGUUAUACGACUUCAAUAACGUCUCAUCCUCGGGUUCAUUCAAAACGCUUGUCCACAGUCUUAAGUAUUUUAAUAACCAUCAUGUUCCCAUUCACUGCCUGUCUCUUUCUGUUAGAGAACUGGUCAAAUACCUUCUUAUUAAAGGCUCUAUUCAAUCAGCAUCGUCGAAGUCCAGCUUUGCAGCGGGAUUGAAAUAUAAACACAACGAUCCCGCUUUACCGGAAGACUUCACUCCCGGUAAACGCUGCACAUGUAGUAGGCUGAAACCGGGAGACUUCACUGCUGUUAAACGCUGCACAUGUAGUAGGCUGAAACCGGGAGACUUCACUCCCGGUAAACGCUGCACAUGUAGUAGGCUGAAACCGGGAGACUUCACUGCUGUUAAACGCUGCAGAUGUAGUAGGCUGAAACCGGAAGACUUCACUCCCGGUAAACGCUGCACAUGUAGUAGGCUGAAACCGGGAGACUUCACUCCCGGUAAACGCUGCAGAUGUCGUAGGCUGAAACCGGGAGACUUCACUCCCGGUAAACGCUGCAGAUGUCGUAGGCUGAAACCGGGAGACUUCACUCCCGGUAAACGCUGCAGAUGUCGUAGACUCAACCGGGAGACUACCGCGGAAUCUCUUCAGCUUUCCAGAUUGAAGAGGGCUCUUAAUCCGUAGUACAUAAUUUGUACUCUCAACUGUAUAGUACUCUGUAGUACUGAUCUGUAUAGUACUCUGUAGCUCUGAACUAUAUAGUACUCUGUAGUACUGAUCUGAACUGUAUAGUACUCUGUAGUACUGAACUGUAUAGUACUCUGUAGUACUGAACUGUAUAGUACUCUGUAGCUCUGAACUGUAUAGUACUCUGUAGCUCUGAACUGUAUAUGAAUUACUUUUUAAAGGCCCAGUGCAGUCAAAAACUAGAUUUUCCUUUGUUUUGUAUAUAUUUCCACACUGAGGUUUGAUUAAUAUUGUGACAAUACUGAUAAUGCCCUUUUAGUGUAAGAGCUGAUUGAAAAGAACACCUGAAAUAUCAGCCUGUUUUUGUUUUGAUGGAGGUUUAGCCUUGUAAUUUAGUUAAUAGACCGAAAUGGGAGUUCCAAACCUCUCUGCCAAUAGUUUUCAAUGUUCCCCUCCCCACUCAGACCCUCUCUACCAAUAACAGCUAGGUUCCCUCCCCCACUCAGACCCUCUCUACCAAUAACAGCUAGGUUCCCUCCCCCACUCAGAACCUCUCUACCAAUAACAGCUAGUUUCCCUCCCCCACUCAGAACCUCUCUACCAAUAACAGCUAGUUUCCCUCCCCCACUCAGACCCUCUCUACCAAUAACAGCUAGGUUCCCUCCCCCACUCAGACCCUCUCUACCAAUAACAGCUAGGUUCCCUCCCCCACUGACCCUCUCUACCAAUAACAGCUAGGUUCCCUCCCCCACAGAACCUCUCUACCAAUAACAGCUAGGUUCCCUCCCCCACUCAGAACCUCUCUACCAAUAACAGCUAGUUUCCCUCCCCCACUCAGACCCUCUCUACCAAUAACAGCUAGGUUCCCUCCCCCACUCAGACCCUCUCUACCAAUAACAGCUAGGUUCCCUCCCCCACUCAGAACCUCUCUACCAAUAACAGCUAGGUUCCCUCCCCCACUCAGACCCUCUCUACCAAUAACAGCUAGGUUCCCUCCCCCACUCAGACCCUCUCUACCAAUAACAGCUAGGUUCCCUCCCCCACUCAGAACCUCUCUACCAAUAACAGCUAGGUUCCCUCCCCACUCAGACCCUCUCUACCAAUAACAGCUAGGUUCCCUCCCCCACUCAGACCCUCUCUACCAAUAACAGCUAGGUUCCCUCCCCCACUCAGACCCUCUCUACCAAUAACAGCUAGGUUCCCUCCCCCACUCAGACCCUCUCUACCAAUAACAGCAAGGUUCCCUCCCCCACUCAGACCCCCUCUACCAAUAACAGCUAGGUUCCCUCCCCCACUCAGAACCUCUCUACCAAUAACAGCUAGGUUCCCUCCCCCACUCAGACCCUCUCUACCAAUAACAGCUAGGUUCCCUCCCCCACUCAGAACCUCUCUACCAAUAACAGCUAGGUUCCCUCCCCCACUCAGACCCUCUCUACCAAUAACAGCUAGGUUCCCUCCCCCACUCAGACCCUCUCUACCAAUAACAGCUAGGUUCCCUCCCCCACUCAGACCCUCUCUACCAAUAACAGCUAGGUUCCCUCCCCCACUCAGAACCUCUCUACCAAUAACAGCUAGGUUCCCUCCCCCACUCAGACCCUCUCUACCAAUAACAGCUAGGUUCCCUCCCCCACUCAGAACCUCUCUACCAAUAACAGCUAGGUUCCCUCCCCCACUCAGAACCUCUCUACCAAUAACAGCUAGGUUCCCUCCCCCACUCAGAACCUCUCUACCAAUAACAGCUAGGUUCCCUCCCCCACUCAGAACCUCUCUACCAAUAACAGCUAGGUUCCCUCCCCCACUCAGACCCUCUCUACCAAUAACAGCUAGGUUCCCUCCCCCACUCAGACCCUCUCUACCAAUAACAGCUAGGUUCCCUCCCCCACUCAGACCCUCUCUACCAAUAACAGCUAGGUUCCCUCCCCCACUCAGACCCUCUCUACCAAUAACAGCUAGGUUCCCUCCCCCAUUCAGAACCUCUCUACCAAUAACAGCUAGGUUCCCUCCCCCACUCAGACCCUCUCUACCAAUAACAGCUAGGUUCCCUCCCCCACUCAGACCCUCUCUACCAAUAACAACUAGGUUCCCUCCCCCACUCAGACCCUCUCUACCAAUAACAGCUGGGUUCCCUCCCCACUCAGACCCUCUCUACCAAUAACAGCUAGGUUCCCUCCCCCACUCAGAACCUCUCUACCAAUAACAGCUGGGUUCCCUCCCCCACUGACCCUCUCUACCAAUAACAGCUAGGUUCCCUCCCCACUAAAUGUAACACGUUUGGUAAACAAUAUUGUUUAUAUUAUUACCGACAGGAUAAAGGCUGUGAGUUCCCAGCCAAAAUACUGAGCACUUUCUUAAUUCUGACUAACCUUGCAUUGUACACACUUCAUAUUUUCUAAAAAGAAAAUCAUGCAUUCAAAUGUUACCCCCUCUUGUAUAUUUUGUAUACGCCUUUUUAUAUAUAUAUAUAUAUAUUUUAUGUGAGUAAGACUUUUUUUUCAUCUCAUGUUAUUAGUUGUCUCAUUUCAGGAGGGGAGACCAUCAUAUGCAGUUUGGGUAUGCUGUACGCGGGGUGAUCAGUUUGGGUAUGCUGUACGCGGGGUGAUCAGUUUGGGUAUGCUGUACGCGGGGUGAUCCGUUUGGGUAUGCUGUACGUGGGGUGAUCAGUUUGGGUAUGCUGUACGCGGGGUGAUCAGUUUGGGUAUGCUGUACGCGGGGUGAUCAGUUUGGGUAUGCUGUACGCGGGGUGAUCAGUUUGGGUAUGCUGUACGCGGGGUGAUCAGUUUGGGUAUGCUGUACGUGGGGUGAUCAGUUUGGGUAUGCUGUACGCGGGGUGAUCAGUUUGGGUAUGCUGUACGCGGGGUGAUCAGUUUGGGUAUGCUGUACGCGGGGUGAUCAGUUUGGGUAUGCUGUACGUGGGGUGAUCAGUUUGGGUAUGCUGUACGUGGGGUGAUCAGUUUGGGUAUGCUGUACGUGGGGUGAUCAGUUUGGGUAUGCUGUACGCGGGGUGAUCAGUUUGGGUAUGCUGUACGCGGGGUGAUCAGUUUGGGUAUACUGGACGCGGGUGAUCAGUUUGGGUAUGCUGUACGCGGGUGAUCCGUUUGGGUAUACUGGACGCGGGUGAUCAGUUUGGCUAUGCUGAACGCGGGGUGAUCAGUUUGGGUAUGCUGUAUGUGGGGUGAUCAGAUUGGGUAUGCUGUACGUGGGGUGAUCAGUUUGGGUAUGCUGUACGCGGGGUGAUCCGUUUGGGUAUGCUGUACGCGGGGUGAUCAGUUUGGGUAUGCUGUACGCGGGGUGAUCAGUUUGGGUAUGCUGUACGCGGGGUGAUCAGUUUGGGUAUGCUGUACGCGGGGUGAUCAGUUUGGGUAUGCUGUACGCGGGGUGAUCCGUUUGGGUAUGCCGUGCGCGGGGUGAUCAGUUUGGGUAUGCUGUACGUGGGUGAUCAGUUUGGGUAUACUGUACGUGGGUGAUCCGUUUGGGUAUGCUGUACGCGGGUGAUCCGUUUGGGUAUGCUGUACGCGGGUGAUCCGUUUGGGUAUGCCGUGCGCGGGUUUUCAGUUUGGGUAUACUGUACGCGGGUGAUCAGUUUGGGUAUGCCGUACGCGGGUGAUCAGUUUGGGUAUGCUGUACGCGGGUGAUCAGUUUGGGUAUGCUGUACGCGGGUGAUCAGUUUGGGUACGCGGGUGAUCAGUUUGGGUAUACUGUACGUGGGUGAUCAGUUUGGGUAUACUGUACGCGGGUUUUCAGUUUGGGUAUACUGUACGCGGGUGAUCAGUUUGGGUAUGCUGUACGCGGGUGAUCCGUUUGGGUACGCCGUACGCGGGUGAUCGUACCUAAAGCUACUCAGGUAUCUACUCUCCUCCUCUGCUGAAGCAAAGCAGGAGGUCUAGCUGUAAAGGAUUGUACAUCCCCUCAAAUGGCACCCUAUUCUCUUUAUGUAGGGCACUAUUUUUGACCCGGACCCUAUUACGUGUACACAGUGUCUCACUGCGUCGAGCCAUAGAAUCACUUUGAUUUAAGUCACUCUUUAGAGAUGUAUAUAAUAGUUUUUUUACUUUUUUUUUUACUUUAGUUGCCAUGGAAGUGAAUGCAAUGCAUACAGUGUGUGUAUUCCGGAAUAGCACCUUAUUCCUUUUAUAGUGUGUUACUUUUGACCAGAGUCCUUGUUAAUAGGGUUCCAUUUUGGGUUCCAUUUUGGGUGUGAAGACACUGGAAAGGUUUGAGGUUGUAAGAUUUUUUUUCCUUUUUAAAUAAAACAUCUUAACAGUU